rnacentral:rRNA from 1 species
AUUGAACGCUGGCGGCAGGCUUAACACAUGCAAGUCGAGCGGAGAUGAGGUGCUUGCACCUUAUCUUAGCGGCGGACGGGUGAGUAAUGCUUAGGAAUCUGCCUAUUAGUGGGGGACGACGUUCCGAAAGGAAUGCUAAUACCGCAUACGUCCUACGGGAGAAAGCAGGGGAUCUUCGGACCUUGCGCUAAUAGAUGAGCCUAAGUCGGAUUAGCUAGUUGGUGGGGUAAAGGCCUACCAAGGCGACGAUCUGUAGCGGGUCUGAGAGGAUGAUCCGCCACACUGGGACUGAGACACGGCCCAGACUCCUACGGGAGGCAGCAGUGGGGAAUAUUGGACAAUGGGGGGAACCCUGAUCCAGCCAUGCCGCGUGUGUGAAGAAGGCCUUAUGGUUGUAAAGCACUUUAAGCGAGGAGGAGGCUACUGAGACUAAUACUCUUGGAUAGUGGACGUUACUCGCAGAAUAAGCACCGGCUAACUCUGUGCCAGCAGCCGCCGUAACAC